rnacentral:ncRNA from 1 species
UCUUAUCGAGAGAGGUUAAGGGACCCGGCCCGAUGACACCUCGGCAACCUGCCGGCCUGUACCCGGUAAGGGUGUAAAAGCGGCAAGGUGCCAAACCCGGCAGAAUCCAAUUCUGAGGGAUGAGA